UACGUAGGGAGCAAGCGUUGUCCGGAAUCAUUGGGCGUAAAGCGCGUGUAGGCGGCCCGAAAAGUCUGGUGUGAAAACUUGAGGCUCAACCUCAAGCUGUCGCUGGAUACUGUCGGGCUUGAGUCCGGAAGAGGAGUGUGGAAUUCCUGGUGUAGCGGUGGAAUGCGCAGAUAUCAGGAGGAACACCCAUGGCGAAGGCAGGUCUCUGGGCAUUAACUGACGCUGAGGAGCGAAAGCAUGGGGGAGCGAACAGG
rnacentral:rRNA from 1 species